CCCCAGAUGUUGCUGAACUACAACUCCCAUGAUUCUUUGAAUUACAUAGAUAGCAAGAGAAUCAUGGGAUUUGUAGUUCAGCAACAUCUGGGG
rnacentral:miRNA from 1 species